rnacentral:rRNA from 1 species
GAAGCAGCUUGCUGCUUCGCUGACGAGUGGCGGACGGGUGAGUAAUGUCUGGGAAACUGCCUGAUGGAGGGGGAUAACUACUGGAAACGGUAGCUAAUACCGCAUAACGUCGCAAGACCAAAGAGGGGGACCUUAGGGCCUCUUGCCAUCGGAUGUGCCCAGAUGGGAUUAGCUAGUAGGUGGGGUAACAGCUCACCUAGGCGACGAUCCCUAGCUGGUCUGAGAGGACGACCAGCCACACUGGAACUGAGACACGGUCCAGACUCCUACGGGAGGCAGCAGUGGGGAAUAUUGCACAAUGGGCGCAAGCCUGAUGCAGCCAUGCCGCGUGUAUGAAGAAGGCCUUCGGGUUGUAAAGUACUUUCAGCGGGGAGGAAGGGAGUAAAGUUAAUACCUUUGCUCAUUGACGUUACCCGCAGAAGAAGCACCGGCUAACUCCGUGCCAGCAGCCGCGGUAAUACGGAGGGUGCAAGCGUUAAUCGGAAUUACUGGGCGUAAAGCGCACGCAGGCGGUUUGUUAAGUCAGAUGUGAAAACCCGCAGCUCAACUGUGGGCUUGCAGCUGAUACGGGCAGGCUUGAGUUCGGUAGGGGAGACUGGAAUUCCUGGUGUAGCGGUGAAAUGCGCAGAUAUCAGGAGGAACACCGGUGGCGAAGGCGGGUCUCUGGGCCGAUACUGACGCUGAGGAGCGGAAGCGUGGGAGCGAACAGGAUUAGAUACCCUGGUAGUCCACGCUGUAAACG